AUAUAUAUAUAUAUAUAUAUUAGUAGAUGCUUAAUAAAGAUGCUUAAUAAAUAAAAGAUAUUAAUUAAUGGAUUGAUAUGUAUGCAAAAUAAAUACAAGAUGAUUAAACCUGGCAGCUAAGGGAACCAGAAAAUAAAUAAUGAAGGGGGUGGGGAGCUUCAUUAAGGUAACAGAAGUGAGGAGGUUGUACAACUGUGACGGCCGUGGGAGACAGCCAGUGGUGGAGGAGAUGUGGAAUCCCAUGUGAGAAACACUAUGUAGGUUAAUAUGGCUUGAAUGAAAUGGGUGAAUAGGGAAUAAGUAACAUAUAAGAAAAUCAGAAAAGUAGGAAAUAGCCACAUACAUUGUAAAGACUUUAAAAAUCAGCAAUAUUUAUAUUUGAUACUAGGGGUAAUAAGGAGCCACUGGUAUUUAUUCAGGGUGGGGAGGAGGUGACAUAGUUAGAUCUGCACUUUAGGAAAAUCACUUUGACAACUGUGCAGAGGAUGGUUUGGAGGGGAGAGAAGUUUGAGGUAGGGAACAUAAAAAGGAGCUUAGUUCUACGUCAAGAUGAGAGAGAAUGAGGGAACUAGGUUAUGGACUGGAAACUAAGAGUGGAGAGGAAAUGUUAUAUAGAUAGAAGUAAUAAGAUUUGUCGAUUGAUUGUUCACAUGGGGUGAGACAUUGAGGUUGAGAAUAUGACUAGACAGAUAGUGGUGCCCUCUGACCCGAUCGAGAACUAUGGAAGAAGGGUGGGUUUGGGAGAAAAGAUAAUGAAUUCUUUUUUUACACAUGCUGACUUUGAGGGGCCUCUGGGAUAUCCAGUUUGAAAAGAGCUUGGUGAAGUAAGACUGAGAAAUCAAGACAGGAUACAUAAAUCUGAGAGCCAUUCACAUGGAAAUCAUAAUUGAAUCCAUGGAAGCUUAUAAAGUCAUUAAGAGAAAGAGUUAAUGUAAAGAGAAAAGGGAAGAACAGAAACUUGGGAUUAUUCUUGUUGAGUCAUUUUUCAGGCAUUUCCAACUCUCUGUGACCCCAUUUGGGGUUUUCUUUAGUAGUUUGCCAUUUCUUUGGCCACUUCAUUUUACAGAAUUUGGCAGACAGGGUUGAAUGACUUAUCCAGGGUCACACAGUAAGUGUCUGAGGCCAGGUUUGAGGUCAAGCUUUCUGACUCCAGACCUAGUAUUCAAUCCACAAUUAAUAUUCAUGAAAUAGAUGAUGAAUCAGCAAAUAAGACUGAGAAGGGAGAGAUAGGAGAACCAGGAGUCAGCAAUGUUCCAAAAAUUCAGAGGGGAGAGAGUGUCAAGUAAAAUAUGGUCAGUGAUGUUGCCUGUGCCAGCAAAGUGAAGAAGGUGAGAAGUGGAAAGAGACCAUGUGAUUUGAAAGUUAAGAUGAAGAGCAACUUUGGAGAGAGCACUUUUAUCCAGCUGAUUAAGUCAGAAGUCAGAUCAUAGGAGGUUAAGAAGAGAGUGAGAGAAGGAUAAAUUGAGGCACCAGCUGGGGAUAGAUUUUUUUAAAAAAUAAUUUGGCUGAGAAGAGGAGAAAUGUAAGAGUAGUUAGUGAGGAAAGUAGGCUCCACUAAGAAUUUUUUGAAGAGAGGAAGUGGUUGUGCUUGUUGGCCACAGAGAAGGAACCAGUAGAUAAGGAGAAAUUAAAGAUUAUAAAGAAGGAAUGAUAAUGGAGGCAAUCAGAUAACCAAGACUGGAGGGGAGUGGAUGGGAUGAAAACCAAAGUAAAGGAGGAUAAUGGUAAGAUGAUGUCAGGGGAUUGUGGAAUGAGGAGGAGUUGUCACAUGGACAGGAAGGAUUCAGUCCUUAUCUUCUAGGGGAUUUUAAAAGGUUUGUAGAUUUGUAGAUCUAAUGUUAGACCGGAUUUCGGGCACUAUCCUUUUAUUUUACAGAUAAUGAAACUGAGGCCUGGGGAGGGUCAGUAAUUUGUGCCCACAUAAGUGUUAAGUGUCAGAUAGGAACUUGACCCCUGUUCCUCUCAUCCCAAAGCAAAUACUCUUUCUAUUGCUUCUUAUAAAAUUGAUGAAAUCUUUUAACUUCUCCAAACUCAUUUCCUUAUCCCUAAAAUGGGGAAUAUCUGCACUAUCUUACCUCUCAGGGCUGUCAGGAGGAAAGCACUUCAUAAUCUGCAAAACUCUAUUUUAUAAGAAAAGAUAACUAAUAAUUCGGAGUAAUGGCUGAUAAGUUCCAGUGGGAGCAAAGGGUUCUUAGAAUUGCAGGAGGUAAUCAGGAAAGAUUUCAUGGAAGAUGAGUCAGAAGUGAAGCUAAAGGUUAAAGGAGAGGGAUUGAAGGUGCAGAAAGGAAGAGAGAAGAUUUCUUCAGAUGUUGUGCUGGGGAUAGUCAGGAAAUACUUCAUGGAAGAUGAGUCAGAAGCGAAGCUAAAGAUUCAAGGAGAGAGAUUGAAGGUUCAGAAAGGAAGAGAGAAGAUUUCUUCAGAUGCUGUGCUGGGGAUAGUCAGGAAAGACUUCAUGGAAGAUGAGUCAGAAGCGAAGCUAAAGGUUGAAGGAGAGGGAUUGAAGGUACAGAAAGGAAGAGAGAAGAUUUCUCCAGAUGCUGUGCUGGGGAUAGUCAGGAAAGACUUCAUGGAAGAUGAGUCAGAAGUGAAGCUAAAGGCUGAAGAAGAUAAUAGUUAUAAACAUUUAGCAUAGUGCCUGAC